AAUUCCGGUUGAUCCUGCCGGAGAUUACUGCUAUUGGAGUUUGAUUAAGCCAUGCGAGUUAAAGGUCUUUUAAUUUAUUAAAAGAUACUGGCGAACGGCUGAGUAACACGUAGUCAAUCUAACUUUUGGUUGGGUAUAAUCUUGGGAAACUGAGGAUAAUCCCCAAUAUAAUAUAUUUUCUGGAAUGAAGUAUAUUUGAAAGUUACGACGCCAAAAGAUGAGACUGCGGUGGAUUAGGUUGUUGUUGGGGUAAAUGCCCAACAAGCCGAUAAUCCAUAGGGGUUGUGAGAGCAAUAGCCCCCAGAUGGAUUCUGAGACACGAAUCCAGGCCCUACGGGGCGCAGCAGGCGCGAAACCUUCACAAUGCACUAAUUGUGUGAUGGGGAAACUCCAAGUGGUAGCAUAGUGCUGCCUUUUGAAAAGUCAAAACAUCUUUUUGAAUAAGUGGUGGGUAAGACGGUUGCCAGCCGCCGCGGUAAUAACCGCGCCACAAGUGGUAAUCUCGAUUAUUGGGUCUAAAGCAUCCGUAGCCGGGGAUAUUAGUUUUCUGUGAAAUCCAAAUGAAAACAUUUGUAAUGCAGAAAAUACUAUAUUUCUUGAGACUGGGAGGAGCAAGAGGAACUCCAUGGGUAGGGGUAGAAUCUUUUAAUCCAUGGGGGGUCACCAGUGGCGAAGGCGUCUUGCUAGAACAGGUCUGACGGUGAGGGAUGAAAGCUGGGGGAGCGAAGAGGAUUAGAUACCCUUGUAGUCCCAGCUGUAAACGAUGCUCGUUAGGUAUUGGGAAUUUUAUGUGAAUUUUCAGUGCCGUAGGGAAGCCGUUAAACGAGCCACCUGGGGAGUACGGUCGCAAGGCUGAAACUUAAAGGAAUUGGCGGGGGAGCACACAAGGGGUGACGUCUACGGUUCAAUUGGAUUCAACUCCGGGAACCUUACCAGAGGUGACAGUAGAAUGAUGGUCAGUUUGAAGAACUUACCUGACGCACUGAGAGGUAUUGCAUGGCCGACGUCAGCUCGUGCCGUGAGGUGUGCGGUUAAGUCCGCAAACGAGCGAGACCCGCGUUUUUAGUUGCUAAUGAAAAUAAGCACUCUAAAAGGACCGCUGGCGAUAAGUCAGAGGAAGGUGCGGUCAACGUUAGGUCAGUAUGGUCCGAAUCUUCUGGGCUACACGUGGGCGGCAAUGAUAAGGACAAUAGGAUGCGACACCGAAAGGUGAAGCUAAUCCUCUAAACCUUAUUUUAGUACAGAUUGAUGGUUGCAACUCACCAUCAUGAUGCCGGAAUCCCUAGUAGUCGAGUGUUAGCAUCGCUCGGCGAAUAAGUCCCUGCUCCUUGCACACACUGCCCGUCAAACCACCUGAAUUGAUUUUAGAUGAGAUACUUUCAUUGAAAGAUUCGAAUCUGAUUUUGGUAAGGGGGGUUAAGUCGUAACAAGGUAGCCGUACGGGAACGUGCGGCUGGAUCACCUCCAAA
rnacentral:rRNA from 1 species